UACGUACUGGGCGAACGUUAUUCGGAUUCACUGGGCUUACAGGGUGCGUAGGCGGCUUCACAAGUCGGGUGUGAAAUCCCCCGGCCCAACCGGGGAAGGGCGCUCGAAACUGUGGGGCUUGAGUGAGGCAGGGGUGUGCGGAACUGCCGGUGGAGCGGUGAAAUGUGUUGAGAUCGGCAGGAACUCCGGUGGCGAAAGCGGCACACUGGGCCUCGUCUGACGCUGAGGCACGAAAGCCAGGGGAGCGAACGGG
rnacentral:misc_RNA from 1 species